rnacentral:rRNA from 1 species
GACGAACGCUGGCGGCGUGCCUAAUACAUGCAAGUAGAACGCACAGUUUAUACCGUAGCUUGCUACACCAUAGACUGUGAGUUGCGAACGGGUGAGUAACGCGUAGGUAACCUGCCUGGUAGCGGGGGAUAACUAUUGGAAACGAUAGCUAAUACCGCAUAAUAUUAAUUAUUGCAUGAUAAUUAAUUGAAAGGUGCAAUUGCACCACUACCAGAUGGACCUGCGUUGUAUUAGCUAGUAGGUGAGGUAACGGCUCACCUAGGCGACGAUACAUAGCCGACCUGAGAGGGUGAUCGGCCACACUGGGACUGAGACACGGCCCAGACUCCUACAGGAGGCAGCAGUAGGGAAUCUUCGACAAUGGACGAAAGUCUGACCGAGCAACGCCGCGUGAGUGAAGAAGGUUUUCGGAUCGUAAAGCUCUGUUGUAAGAGAAGAACGGGUGUGAGAGUGGAAAGUUCACACUGUGACGGUAUCUUACCAGAAAGGGACGGCUAACUACGUG